rnacentral:misc_RNA from 1 species
GAAAUGCGAUAAGUAAUGUGAAUUGCAGAAUUCAGUGAAUCAUCGAAUCUUUGAACGCACAUUGCGCCCGCCAGCACUCUGGCGGGCAUGCCUGUUCGAGCGUCAUUUCAACCCUCAGAACCCCUUGCGGGAUCUGGCGUUGGGGACUGGCAUCCAGCCAGCCCCGAAAUCUAGUGGCGGUCCCUCCGCGACCUCCCCUGUGCAGUAGCGAUACCUCGCAGCGGGACAGCGGUCUGACCACGCCGUAAAACCCCCAACUUCUCAAGGUUGACCUCGAAUCAGGUAGGAAUACCCGCUGAACUUAAGC